rnacentral:tRNA from 1 species
GGAGAGGUGUCCGAGUGGCCGAAGGAGCACGCCUGGAGAGCGUGUAGGCGGGUUCCCCGCCUCGUGGGUUCGAAUCCCACCCUCUCCG